AGUUUCAGCUUCAUCUAUUCUGUUGUUCGUCUUUUUGAUGUCGUCUUUGAUUUCUUUUAAGUUUUCAAAGUUCUCCCGGUGGAGCUCUUGUAUCUCUUGUAAGACUGUCUCCAGGUCUGCCAUAUUUUUAGCCGGUUUUUGUGUUUUUUUCUCCUUCUUGUGGGCUAAUUUGCCUGUUAGCUUAGCUGGCUCACUACCAUGCUCGGAGUCCGAAUUCACGUUUUUAGUCGACUUCCGAUUUUUUCCUCUAGUCUUAAUCAUCACCCUUAUUACUACACUCUUAAAUUCUACUCACUUUCC